CUCAAGCUUCCAGUUGUAGUGAGUGGAAAGUAUAUAAAUAACUUCCUUUGACCUUGUUUUUCUCACCUGAGAUGAGAUAACUAUGGAGUAAUUUGCUUUAGAGGAACAGAGGAAAAACACGGGUGAAUGGAAAGAUCCAAGGAAAGGGAGGUUUUUCUGAUCCGGUUGAGGUUGCACUUCGCGUAAUAACUAUUAGCUUUCAUUGUUGAGGUUCCUCAGUGCUGAACUAACAAGAGGGUACUUCCUUGAACAUAAUGAGGCCAAGUAUACAGAAAGAAGAGAAAGAGUAUACACUUGUUUGCGAAUACCAAGAGAAUUGGAAAAGCUGAUGGUUUUUGGAAUCUUUCUGUGCCUGGAUGCGUUUUUGUAUGUGUUCACCCUGCUUCCUUUAAGAGUUUUCCUGGCACUAUUCAGGCUCCUCACUUUGCCUUGCUAUGGCUUAAGGGACAGACGUUUGCUUCAGCCUGCCCAGGUGUGUGACAUUUUGAAGGGUGUCAUUUUGGUAAUCUGCUAUUUUAUGAUGCACUAUGUUGACUACUCCAUGAUGUACCACCUGAUAAGGGGGCAGUCCGUCAUCAAGCUCUACAUCAUCUACAACAUGCUGGAGGUAGCUGAUCGUCUGUUUUCAUCUUUUGGACAAGACAUAUUAGAUGCUCUCUAUUGGACAGCAACAGAGCCUAAAGAAAGAAAAAGAGCCCACAUUGGGGUGAUUCCUCACUUUUUCAUGGCUGUUCUCUAUG
rnacentral:lncRNA from 1 species